rnacentral:lncRNA from 1 species
AGGCUCGCCCAGGCCCGGCCGCCGGCCCGCGCGCACCUGCAGACGCUGCACGUCUUAAGUUUCGAGUGAUUUGGGGAAGGAAAGAGGACCGAGAAGAAAAGAAAAGGGCUCGGGGGGGGGGGGGGGUGGGCGGGUGAGGGGCGGAGGAGAGGACGAAGGAAAAAAGCCGGGAGAGGGAGAAGAAAGAAAUCUUCCUUUUGCAAAAGGAGGCAUAAUGUGGCUUAGAGGUUGCCAAAGCAAAAGGUUUUGCUUUAUUUUGUUUUUGCAACCGAGGCGUUCAGGGUGGGGCUGGCGCGAGGGAAGGGUGGAUGGGGAGAAGGUCACUGUCUUAGCACAUGGCGAGAUUUAUUUACUCCUUUGGAUUAUUUCGGUUUCUCGCCGAAUGGCUUUGAUCCUGGAUUCCUAAAAAUACCUUUGAAAGAUUGAAAGACUCGCCCCGCCCCCCCAACCUCCACACCGUCUUACUGCCUAACUCCUCGGAACCCUCGGAGGUUGCGCAUAAACAAUUUUUUCUUCCAGAACGGCCCCCCUCUCCGCCCUGGGGGAGCCGGGAGGAUGUGCAGCCCCAGUCCUCCUGCUCGGCGGAGCCUCGCGCGCGCAGAGCCUAGCGCGAUUCGCGCCCUCAUUACUACUACAAAGCGCGGGCCAGACCAAUCCCCUUUCUAAUGCACCAUUUUCGACUGAGAACAUCAAGAGGCCAGAAACUUCCAAGUCAGCUUGCAGACGCAGACGCCUCCUGGGGUCCUGGCUUUAAGAACCAGAUGCCAACACUCCCGGACAGUUUAUGGCAUCCGGAUCCCUCAAGGGUGCUCAUCUGCAGUUGAGAGUGAUUCUGUGUGAAGAAUACAGAGACAGACGUUCCAUUUCAAAGAAAAAAGAGCAACACGAAGGCCCUCUUUAAGGAGAGAGUAAACAUUCACUUUAGGUAAAAAAUAGUCUUUUACACGCCUGUGCACGGCACACCUCUUUUGCUGUUCACCUUGAGCCCAAGAGUUUGGAAAGGCUGCCCCCAUUUCAGAGAGGAAGAAACGCAGGCACACGUGAAUGACAGACUCCUCUGUGGUGGCCUAGACUCCAGCCAACACUUCCUAGGACAGCCUGCCAUUGUGCAAAGUCACCAUGUAACAAAUGCAGACAUCUCUGAGAUCACCAUGCAGUGAGGAAGUCUAAGCUGGUGGCAUGAAGAGGCCACAUGGAAAGGGCUAAAAAAGGGGCCAGCCUCAGUCAUCCCAGCUGAGCACCUGGCUGGGAAUAAAAGAGGACUCCGUGGAUGUUUACUCCAGGAGCUUCAGUGGUGCAUGCUGAAUGUGCUGUUUCUUGGGCUGGGGGACAGAGAUGUGCAUGCUGUUAUACACUCUAUAUUGAAAUGAUUGUAUAACAAUAUACUAAUUUAUCAUGUAAUAAAUUUGACCAGAAAGAAACAA